rnacentral:rRNA from 1 species
UAGGGAAUCUUCCACAAUGGACGCAAGUCUGAUGGAGCAACGCCGCGUGAGUGAAGAAGGUUUUCGGACCGUAAAGCUCUGUUGUUGGUGAAGAAGGAUAGAGGUAGUAACUGGCCUUUAUUUGACGGUAAUCAACCAGAAAGUCACGGCUAACUACGUGCCAGCAGCCGCGGUAAUACGUAGGUGGCAAGCGUUGUCCGGAUUUAUUGGGCGUAAAGCGAGCGCAGGCGGAAGAAUAAGUCUGAUGUGAAAGCCCCCGGCUUAACCGAGGAAUUGCAUCGGAAACUGUUUUUCUUGAGUGCAGAAGAGGAGAGUAGAACUCCAUGUGUAGCGGUGGAAUGCGUAGAUAUAUGGAAGAAUACCAGUGGCGAAGGCGGCUCUCUGGUCUGCAACUGACGCUGAGGCUCGAAAGCAUGGGUAGCGAACAGGAUUAGAUACCCUGG